rnacentral:rRNA from 1 species
AUUGAACGCUGGCGGCAUGCCUUACACAUGCAAGUCGAACGGCAGCGGACCUUCGGGUGCCGGCGAGUGGCGAACGGGUGAGUAAAGUAUCGGAACGUACCUUUCAGUGGGGGAUAACGUAGCGAAAGUUACGCUAAUACCGCAUAUUCUGUGAGCAGGAAAGCAGGGGAUCGCAAGACCUUGCGCUGAUUGAGCGGCCGAUAUCAGAUUAGCUAGUUGGUGAGGUAAAGGCUCACCAAGGCGACGAUCUGUAGCGGGUCUGAGAGGAUGAUCCGCCACACUGGAACUGAGACACGGUCCAGACUCCUACGGGAGGCAGCAGUGGGGAAUUUUGGACAAUGGGGGCAACCCUGAUCCAGCCAUGCCGCGUGAGUGAAGAAGGCCUCGGUU